rnacentral:tRNA from 1 species
GGCGGCAUCGCGCAGGCCGCCGCCGGCGGUUCUGAUCUGCCGGGCGGCCGCCUUCAUGUCCAAGGAGAGGCUGAUCGUGGUGGCGUGCCGUUCCC